GAGUUUGAUCAUGGCUCAGAACGAACGCUGGCGGCGUGCCUAAUACAUGCAAGUCGAGCGAGAAAGUCUCUUCGGAGAUGAGUAAAGCGGCGCACGGGUGAGUAACACGUGGGCAACCUGCCCUUGAGUCUGGGAUAACCCGGGGAAACUCGGGCUAAUACCAGAUACGGCUGCGGGGUCUUCGGAUCCUGUGGAGAAAGAUGGCCUCUUCAUGAAAGCUAUCUCUCAAGGAUGGGCCCGCGUCCUAUUAGCUAGUUGGUGGGGUAACGGCUCACCAAGGCAAAGAUGGGUAGCUGGUCUGAGAGGAUGACCAGUCACACUGGAACUGAGACACGGUCCAGACUCCUACGGGAGGCAGCAGUAGGGAAUUUUGGGCAAUGGGCGAAAGCCUGACCCAGCAACGCCGCGUGUGGGAUGAAGGCUCUCGGGUCGUAAACCACUGUCAGGAGGAAAGAAAAGUCGGCCGGGUAAUAUUCGGUCGGCCUGACGGUACCUCCAAAGGAAGCACCGGCUAACUCCGUGCCAGCAGCCGCGGUAAUACGGAGGGUGCAAGCGUUGUUCGGAAUUACUGGGCGUAAAGCGCGUGUAGGUGGUUGAGUAAGUCGAAUGUGAAAGCCCCGGGCUCAACCCGGGAAGUGCAUCCGAAACUGCUCGACUAGAGUCCCGG
rnacentral:rRNA from 1 species